rnacentral:rRNA from 1 species
CUACAGGCUUAACACAUGCAAGUCGAGGGGCAGCAUGGUCUUAGCUUGCUAAGGCCGAUGGCGACCGGCGCACGGGUGAGUAACACGUAUCCAACCUGCCGUCUACUCUUGGACAGCCUUCUGAAAGGAAGAUUAAUACAAGAUGGCAUCAUGAGUCCGCAUGUUCACAUGAUUAAAGGUAUUCCGGUAGACGAUGGGGAUGCGUUCCAUUAGAUAGUAGGCGGGGUAACGGCCCACCUAGUCUUCGAUGGAUAGGGGUUCUGAGAGGAAGGUCCCCCACAUUGGAACUGAGACACGGUCCAAACUCCUACGGGAGGCAGCAGUGAGGAAUAUCGGUCAAUGGGCGAGAGCCUGAACCAGCCAAGUAGCGUGAAGGAUGACUGCCCUAUGGGUUGUAAACUUCUUUUAUAAAGGAAUAAAGUCGGGUAUGGAUACCCGUUUGCAUGUACUUUAUGAAUAAGGAUCGGCUAACUCCGUGCCAGCAGCCGCGGUAAUACGGAGGAUCCGAGCGUUAUCCGGAUUUAUUGGGUUUAAAGGGAGCGUAGAUGGAUGUUUAAGUCAGUUGUGAAAGUUUGCGGCUCAACCGUAAAAUUGCAGUUGAUACUGGAUAUCUUGAGUGCAGUUGAGGCAGGCGGAAUUCGUGGUGUAGCGGUGAAAUGCUUAGAUAUCACGGAGAACUCCGAUUGCAAAGGCAGCCUGCUAAGCUGCAACUGACAUUGAGGCUCGAAAGUGUGGGUAUCAAACAGGAUUAGAUACCCUGGUAGUCCACACGGUAAACGAUGAAUACUCGCUGUUUGCGAUAUACUGCAAGCGGCCAAGCGAAAGCGUUAAGUAUUCCACCUGGGGAGUACGCCGGCAACGGUGAAACUCAAAGGAAUUGACGGGGGCCCGCACAAGCGGAGGAACAUGUGGUUUAAUUCGAUGAUACGCGAGGAACCUUACCCGGGCUUAAAUUGCAGAUGAAUUACGGUGAAAGCCGUAAGCCGCAAGGCAUCUGUGAAGGUGCUGCAUGGUUGUCGUCAGCUCGUGCCGUGAGGUGUCGGCUUAAGUGCCAUAACGAGCGCAACCCUUGUUGUCAGUUACUAACAGGUUCCGCUGAGGACUCUGACAAGACUGCCAUCGUAAGAUGUGAGGAAGGUGGGGAUGACGUCAAAUCAGCACGGCCCUUACGUCCGGGGCUACACACGUGUUACAAUGGGGGGUACAGAGGGCCGCUACCACGCGAGUGGAUGCCAAUCCCCAAAACCUCUCUCAGUUCGGACUGGAGUCUGCAACCCGACUCCACGAAGCUGGAUUCGCUAGUAAUCGCGCAUCAGCCACGGCGCGGUGAAUACGUUCCCGGGCCUUGUACACACCGCCCGUCAAGCCAUGGGAGCCGGGGGUACCUGAAGUGCGUAACCGCGAGGAGCGCCCUAGGGUAAAACUGGUGACUGGGGCUAAGUCAUAACA